CAGUAGCCACGGGAAUACAGAGGGUGCGAGCGUUAAUCGGAUUUACUGGGCGUAAAGCGUGCGUAGGCGGCUUUUUAAGUCGGAUGUGAAAUCCCUGAGCUUAACUUAGGAAUUGCAUUCGAUACUGGGAAGCUAGAGUAUGGGAGAGGAUGGUAGAAUUCCAGGUGUAGCGGUGAAAUGCGUAGAGAUCUGUAGGAAUACCGAUGGCGAAGGCAGCCAUCUGGCCUAAUACUGACGCUGAGGUACGAAAGCAUGGGGAGCAAACAGGAUUAGAUACCCGUGAGUCCCUGUCUCUUAUACA
rnacentral:rRNA from 1 species